CGACCGGUUCGGUACCGAGUAAGCCUUGCUUCUCUGAUGUUAACCGCCGGGACCGGGUUGAAUUAACAACGUUGGAUACCUUCCUAUUUAGACUUGGGAUUAACUUUCGGGAAACCCGGAGCCUAAUACCGGGAUAAUAUUUUGGAACCGCAUGGUUCAAAAGUGAAAGACGGUCUUGCUGUCACUUAUAGAUGGAUCCGCGCUGCAUUAGCUAGUUGGUAAGGUAACGGCUUACCAAGGCAACGAUGCAUAGCCGACCUGAGAGGGUGAUCGGCCACACUGGAACUGAGACACGGUCCAGACUCCUACGGGAGGCAGCAGUAGGGAAUCUUCCGCAAUGGGCGAAAGCCUGACGGAGCAACGCCGCGUGAGUGAUGAAGGUCUUCGGAUCGUAAAACUCUGUUAUUAGGGAAGAACAUAUGUGUAAGUAACUGUGCACAUCUUGACGGUACCUAAUCAGAAAGCCACGGCUAACUACGUGCCAGCAGCCGCGGUAAUACGUAGGUGGCAAGCGUUAUCCGGAAUUAUUGGGCGUAAAGCGCGCGUAGGCGGUUUUUUAAGUCUGAUGUGAAAGCCCACGGCUCAACCGUGGAGGGUCAUUGGAAACUGGAAAACUUGAGUGCAGAAGAGGAAAGUGGAAUUCCAUGUGUAGCGGUGAAAUGCGCAGAGAUAUGGAGGAACACCAGUGGCGAAGGCGACUUUCUGGUCUGUAACUGACGCUGAUGUGCGAAAGCGUGGGGAUCAAACAGGAUUAGAUACCCUGGUAGUCCACGCCGUAAACGAUGAGUGCUAAGUGUUAGGGGGUUUCCGCCCCUUAGUGCUGCAGCUAACGCAUUAAGCACUCCGCCUGGGGAGUACGACCGCAAGGUUG
rnacentral:rRNA from 1 species